AGCGAACGCUGGCGGCAGGCCUAACACAUGCAAGUCGAACGAAGUCUUCGGACUUAGUGGCGGACGGGUGAGUAACACGUGGGAACGUGCCUUUAGGUUCGGAAUAACUCAGGGAAACUUGUGCUAAUACCGAAUGUGCCCUUCGGGGGACAGAUUUAUCGCCUUUAGAGCGGCCCGCGUCUGAUUAGCUAGUUGGUGAGGUAAAGGCUCACCAAGGCUACGAUCAGUAGCUGGUCUGAGAGGAUGACCAGCCACAUUGGGACUGAGACACGGCCCAAACUCCUACGGGAGGCAGCAGUGGGGAAUCUUGCGCAAUGGGCGAAAGCCUGACGCAGCCAUGCCGCGUGGAUGAUGAAGGUCUUAGGAUUGUAAAAUCCUUUCACCGGUGAAGAUAAUGACUGUAGCCGGAGAAGAAGCCCCGGCUAACUACGUGCCAGCAGCCGCGGUAAGAC
rnacentral:rRNA from 1 species